rnacentral:tRNA from 1 species
GCUCCAUUAGCUCAGCUGGUUUAGAGCGCUGUGCUUAUAGUACUAAAAUACUAUGAAUGUGUUGAGAAACGCGGAGGUCCUGGGUUCGAUCCCCAGAUGGAGCA